GCACUGCUGAGGAGUCCCACACUAGGACGAAACGGCCGUUUAGUGC
rfam:Schistosoma haematobium scaffold413_32, whole genome shotgun sequence.